rnacentral:rRNA from 1 species
CACAUGCAAGUCGAACGGUAGGGGGGGCAACCCCUCGAGAGUGGCGAACGGGUGAGUAAUAUAUCGGAACGUGCCCAGUCGUGGGGGAUAACGUAGCGAAAGUUACGCUAAUACCGCAUACGAUCUACGGAUGAAAGCGGGGGACCGUAAGGCCUCGCGCGAUUGGAGCGGCCGAUAUCAGAUUAGGUAGUUGGUGGGGUAAAGGCUCACCAAGCCAACGAUCUGUAGCUGGUCUGAGAGGACGACCAGCCACACUGGAACUGAGACACGGUCCAGACUCCUACGGGAGGCAGCAGUGGGGAAUUUUGGACAAUGGACGCAAGUCUGAUCCAGCCAUUCCGCGUGCAGGAUGAAGGCCCUCGGGUUGUAAACUGCUUUUGUACGGAACGAAAAGGUCUCUCUUAAUACGAGGGGCUCAUGACGGUACCGUAAGAAUAAGCACCGGCUAACUACGUGCCAGCAGCCGCGGUAAUACGUAGGGUGCAAGCGUUAAUCGGAAUUACUGGGCGUAAAGCGUGCGCAGGCGGUUAUGUAAGACAGAGGUGAAAUCCCCGGGCUCAACCUGGGAACUGCCUUUGUGACUGCAUAGCUAGAGUACGGUAGAGGGGGAUGGAAUUCCGCGUGUAGCAGUGAAAUGCGUAGAUAUGCGGAGGAACACCGAUGGCGAAGGCAAUCCCCUGGACCUGUACUGACGCUCAUGCACGAAAGCGUGGGGAGCAAACAGGAUUAGAUACCCUGGUAGUCCACGCCGUAAACGAUGAUAACUAGCUGUCCGGGU